rnacentral:rRNA from 1 species
AGUGAACGCUGGCGGUAGGCCUAACACAUGCAAGUCGAACGGCAGCACAGUAAGAGCUUGCUCUUACGGGUGGCGAGUGGCGGACGGGUGAGGAAUACAUCGGAAUCUACUUUUUCGUGGGGGAUAACGUAGGGAAACUUACGCUAAUACCGCAUACGACCUACGGGUGAAAGCAGGGGAUCUUCGGACCUUGCGCGAUUGAAUGAGCCGAUGUCGGAUUAGCUAGUUGGCGGGGUAAAGGCCCACCAAGGCGACGAUCCGUAGCUGGUCUGAGAGGAUGAUCAGCCACACUGGAACUGAGACACGGUCCAGACUCCUACGGGAGGCAGCAGUGGGGAAUAUUGGACAAUGGGCGCAAGCCUGAUGCAGCCAUACCGCGUGGGUGAAGAAGGCCUUCGGGUUGUAAAGCCCUUUUGUUGGGAAAGAAAAGCAGCAGGUUAAUACCCGGCUGUUCUGACGGUACCCAAAGAAUAAGCACCGGCUAACUUCGUG